rnacentral:tRNA from 1 species
UAGAGAGUGGUGUAGUGGAAGCACAGAGGGUUUUGAUCUCUCGGGGGAGGGUUCGAGUCCCUUUUUUCUAA